rnacentral:rRNA from 1 species
AUGGGCGGCGACGCCGCCGCGGAGAGGAGGGCCGCCGAGGAGAAGCUCUGCGAGUACACCCUCGACGGGUCCGUGGACAUCAAGGGGCGGCCGGCGGUGAAGGGCAAGUCGGGAGGAUGGCUCGCCGGAGGCCUUAUUCUCGUGAACCAGGGCCUGGCGACGAUGGCCUUCUUCGGCGUGAACGUGAACCUGGUGCUGUUCCUGACGAGGGUGGUGCAGCAGAGCAACGGCGACGCGGCCAACAACGUGAGCAAGUGGACCGGCACCGUCUACAUGUUCUCCCUCAUCGGCGCCUUCCUCAGCGACUCCUACUGGGGCCGCUACAAGACCUGCGCCAUCUUCCAGGCCAUCUUCGUCCUCGGGCUCGGGCUGCUGUCGCUCUCCUCGCGGCUAUACCUCAUCAGGCCGGUCGGGUGCGGCACGGAGCACACGCCCUGCGCCUCGCACUCCGGCACGGAGAUGGGGAUCUUCUACAUCGCGCUCUACAUGAUCGCCUUCGGCAACGGCGGCUACCAGCCCAACAUCGCCACCUUCGGGGCCGACCAGUUCGACGAGGAGGACCCCGCCGAGGCGCACUCCAAGGUCUCCUUCUUCAGCUACUUCUACCUGGCGCUCAACCUCGGCUCGCUCUUCUCCAACACCUUCCUCAGCUACCUCCAGGACCACGGCAAGUGGGUGCUCGGCUUCUGGGCCUCCACCGCCGCCGCCGCCACCGCCCUGCUGCUCUUCCUCAGCGGGACGCCACAGUACCGCCACGCGCAGCCCUGCGGCAACCCCAUGGCCAGCAUCUGCCAGGUCGCCUCCGCCGCCUGCAGGAACUGGAAGGCCGGCGGCGUGUCCUGCUCCUCCGACGUGGAGAUCCUGUACGAGGGCGACGACAAGACGGACGCCGGCUCAAGGAAGCUUCUGCACACCAAAGGCUUCAGGUUCUUGGACCGCGCGGCGCUCACGACCGAAGACACCAGCUCCAAGCUCGCCACCUGCAGCAAAACGCGCGAUCAGUGGAAGCUGUGCACGGUGACGCAGGUGGAGCAAGUGAAGAGCAUCCUCCGGAUCCUCCCUAUCUGGGUCUGCACCAUCCUCUACUCCGUCGUCUUCACCCAGAUGGCGUCGCUCUUCGUCGUGCAGGGUGCCGCGAUGCGCCGGACCACACCUUUGGGCGCCUUCUCGAUCCCGGCCUCCAGCAUGUCGGCCUUCGACAUCCUCACCGUCGCGACCACCAUCUUCCUGUACCGGCGGGCCAUCUGCCCGUUCCUCGCACGGUUCACUGGACGCUCGACCGGACCCACGGAGCUGCAGAGGAUGGGACUUGGCCUGGUCCUCGGCGCAAUGGCCAUGGCCACCGCCGGAACGGUGGAGCACUUCAGGAAGGCCAGCGCGACCACGGCGAACAGCAGCGAGCUGCACAUCCUAUGGCAGGUGCCGCAGUACGCGCUGAUCGGAGUGUCGGAAGUGAUGAUGUACGUGGGCCAGCUCGAGUUCUUCAACGGCGAGAUGCCCGACGGGUUCAAGAGCUUCGGCAGCGCGCUGUGCAUGAUGUCCAUGUCCCUCGGCAACUACUUCAGCGACAUCAUCGUCAGCGCGGUGACCAAGGCCACCGCCGUGGACGGGCGGCCGGGCUGGAUCCCGGCGGACCUGAACGAGGGCCACCUCAACAAGUUCUACUUCCUGCUAGCCAUACUCUCCGUCGCCGACUUCGCGGUGUACCUCGUCUUCGCCGGCCGCUACAGGAAGACCUGCAAGGUGGACGGGCGGAGCGACGAGGAGGAGGAAGGGAGCGUGGACGACGAGGAGGCAUGCCACGAGUGA